rnacentral:lncRNA from 10 species
UGGAUUUCAACUCAAGGGGGACGGCUGGACACAGGCCCCAGAUUUACUGGGGUAGGUGGCACUGGCAGCAGCAGCUUGGUGUUCCUAAGUCUGCAAGGGUGGCUUCCUCAUUGGGAAGACAGCUGACUCUGGGAUCAGUGGAGGCAACAGCUGUUCCACCGCCAGCCAAGUUCUCCGAGACUUGUUCCUGGAACCUCGGUCUAGACUCAAGCUCCUCAACAACUCUUAACAGUAAUGAGCUCACAACAUUCACACUCCAUCCCUGACCUGGUCUCUCAUGACCAUCGACUUAAGGACCUCUUUAUACUCCUGGAAAUUACUGAGGACUCCAAAGAACUUUUGUUUAUGUGGGUUAUUUAUCGAUAUUUGCUGUAUUAGAAAUUAAAGCAGAAUUUUUAAAAUGUAUUUAUUAAUUCAUUUAAAAUAAUAUAAAACUCCAUUCCAUGGUAAUAAAAAUCACACUUUAAAAAUAACUAUAUUUUCUAAGACAAAAAUAAAUUGAGAAGAUUGUCAUCAUUUUA